CUUGAUGUGGCAGAUUAGUGCAGUAAAUUUAAGCUUUACUUAUAAAGAACCCUCUUUCAUUAAGA
rnacentral:tRNA from 1 species